rnacentral:rRNA from 1 species
CCCUUAGAUGUCCGGGGCCGCACGCGCGCUACACUGAAGGAAUCAGCGUGGCUUUCUCCCUGACCCGAAAGGGUUGGGAAACCCGUUGAAUCUCCUUCGUGAUAGGGAUUGGGGCUUGAAAUUGUUCCCCAUGAACGAGGAAUUCCCAGUAAGCGCGAGUCAUAAGCUCGCGUUGAUUACGUCCCUGCCCUUUGCACACACCGCCCGUCGCUACUACCGAUUGAACGGUUUAGUGAGGGCCUCGGAUUGGUCUCGGCCCGCUCUUUACCGGGCGGCGCCGUUGGUCGAGAAGACGCUCGAACUUGAUCGUUUAGAGGAAGUAAAAGUCGUAACA